rnacentral:lncRNA from 1 species
UUUUUGAAAGAUAACACAAGAAGUCUUUGAUUAGUGACUUUUGGUAAGAAUGAAACAAAUAUGCUGGGAAACCCUAUCAAAACCUAUGAGGUGAUCUUUGCUUCACUUGAGACUGUGCUACAUGUGCAAAGGAAAGGAGUGACCUUCCUGAAAUUGUACUUAAGGAUCCUGCUCUGUGGAUCAACAAGACCCCACAUUCUUGCCUGCAAAGAGAAAACACUCUAUAUCUGCUAGGCCUAAUUUUGUUCCCCAGGGCUAUUGUGGCUUUUUAAAAAGUAUCUAUUUGGGGACUUCGAUGAGUCACUUCAGAAUGCUUUAAAAAUUAUGGGUGAUGAACAUAUUGGUAUCUGUACCCCAAAUUUAGACUGUUUAAAAACAACAAAACAGAAUGAUUUUUCUUCCCAGAUUUGUUUUAAAUCCAUCUUACUUAAAAAGCAAACUCAAAAAUCCCCUUCCCCUGUGGUACUGUAAACCCAGUCAAUUCAGCUCAGUUCAAUUAAAUGUAGCAGUAUUUACUGAGCAUCCGUUAUAUGGUAGGCACUUGAAUGAGGUGUCUAUAUGAACACUUGU